rnacentral:lncRNA from 1 species
AUAUUAGAAUUGGCAGUUUGAGGUUGAGUAGGGUUUCUAUGAUAUCUAGAGAUCUACUUGUUGGAUAAAGGUGAAAUUUGGCAUGAUAUUGGAAGACUUAAAGAUCAAGCUACAUACCAAUUUUGAGUUGAAGUUAAUGAUUAAAGAAGGAGAAAUCACUAUUGGAACUUCUGCAUCAUCUUUGAAGUUGGUGGCCAAGUGACAUUAGUGCAAUUUUUGGAGGUUUUCUCACAAUUUAUAAGUUGGAUUGGGCUAAAAUUUCUUGAGCAUAUAGAAGAAUUACAUUGACAAUCGCAUACAAAAUUUCACAUCAAGUGGAUGAUCAAAUUAGAAGUUACAACAUGUCAAAGCUCACUGAUUAGGAUUAAGUUUCAUAAAAAAAAUCUAAAUUGAUUAAAUAUGAAAGUAACAAGGUAAUUGGGAUUUAUGUAUGAUUGAGGCUACCAAGAAGAGUAUUUUUUUUUAGCAAUUUUGAAUUAAAAUUUAGAUUAUAUUCUUCUAAUAUAGAUGAAAUCUAUUAGGAUUUCUUGGAUAUUAUAA